GUACACAAAGGCAUCGAUCGCCCAGAUAUCACUUCCCAACUCAGUCACAGGGGAACGGGCGGAUCUUAACUGAUCUCCCGGUAGUGAAUCUACUCUUGCAUCGCAGUUUGCAGUACACUGGGUUACCGUUCGUCGCGAGGCUUUCGUAGGAGACAUCCCGGGCUACAGCUACAGCCUGGUAUUCGGGACCUCUGAACUGCUGUGACUAUUUUGUCAACAUUCUGCUGCCGCCAAAAGCACCAGGUGAGGGGUUCAAUUGCUCCGGCCAUUUGAUUUCAUAUUAUUUUUAUCGUUUGCUAUGAAGUAAGCUCACACUGUAGUAUGACUGUACAAAAUGUUCGUAUUUGUCCGAAUUUCCUCAUUUAUUUAUUUAUUGAUCUCAAAACAUGUGGGUAGCCCCUUCAACUUGUUUGAAGUUGAUUUCCAAGGGGGCCCACUACAUAAAUAACAAAAACGAAACGUGUUACAUUCAGUAAGACAACCAGAGGACAACAAACAAAAUAUACAAAUAAACCGAUGCGUCUUUACCAAGAACAGUUGUCGAGGUCAACAAAAAACGUCAACGGUGGAGGUCAGAGGUCCAUGUGCGCAGGAGUGUGUCUUAGGGCAGCUUUAAACUGCCGUAGAGUUGGUGCAUGUCUUAUGUCCGCCGAAAGGGUAUUGUAAUAUGUUGCUCCUCUGUAUGCAAAUGUGCGGUGGCCAGCUGUGUUUGUGUAAUUGGGUUUAUGGAGCAAAGAGGCUUGUCUGGUGUUAUGGCUGUGUAACAGGUGGUUGUGUACAAAGGUGGUAUCCAGGUAUGUCGGGACAAGCCCGUUGAUACAUUUAAAGACCAUCACACACAUGUGUUCCUUUCUCCGCUGCGUAAGAUACUUCCAGUUGAGUCUGCUGUGUAGGUCUUGGACACUGGAUCGUCGCUUCAUUUGUAGGAUGACCCUGGCAGCUCGAUUUUGAAGAACCUGAAGUUGUCUCACCUCACUCCACCAAGAAGAUCCAUCCAUCUUGAGUGGAGAUAACGACGGCACCAGCCUGGAUACUACGCUGAGGCUGCUUCUACUGUUCAGCUACAAGCACAGGAAAAGGAAAAUCUCCUCCAUGGAUAGAAUUGUGACAGAAGAAGAGCUGGACUACGUGGCCGACAACGUCUCACCGUUUCAGUCAAGGCGCCUGCUGCGUAAGCUGGGCCUGAAGGACGUCACUAUAGACCAGGUGUUCUACAACUUCGAGAAAAGUCCAGAACAGCUCUACCAAGGUCUACGAAAGUGUAAGGAAAAGAAAGGGCGUAGUUUCACUCUCGAUGAGCUUGUAAACGCCCUUAAGUGCACCCGUAGGACAGAUUUGGCAGAAGAGCUACUCUUUGGGGUGACCAUGAGUAGCGGAGAAGAUGCAAAGCUAAUUCAGUCCCGUGUCAUUCAGAAAAAGUUCGCGAAAAUUGGAGAUGGCAAACUCAGACGUCAAGUGCAACAAUCUUUUGGGAUUGUUAAGGACAUCUUUACAACGAUCUUGCAAAAGAUCUUGAAAUAACGAAGAUGACCCCUAUCUAGUGUGAUAUCUUGACUGACAACUACAUUCCAUUUGUAUGUAUCAAAUGGAAGGUAUAGCCAAUGGUUACAGUUUUCACGUGGACACGGACUGAAGCAAACAUUUUCUCUAUAAACUACAUUGCCUUCACUACCUGAUCUGUCAUCAACGUAUCUGUCAAGGGUAGAUAUGUUUAGACGGAUCAAAUACUGAAGGCAAUGUUCCCUAUGCCCCUAAACCGUACUCUCCAAACAGGCCUUUUUUCGUACGUCUUUUUUCACAAACCGAAAACCGAUCUCUGCUUGAAGAGUAUAUAACUCCCACUGUCAUGGAUGUGCCAGUGGCAAGCACUUUUGAUGUCAUCAGAGCAACACGCCCUUCUCACGAAGACAAUUCAGACUAUGAUAUUUCUAGUGUAAGCUCAUUGACAUCUAAUAUUAUUUGGGAAUAUUGCUAGCACUGUUGACUGAAUAGGGCUCCUUUGAAGUUUUGUAUGGCCAUGGGGCAACUGUUAGCAGGGAAGAUGCUGAUAAAACAUCAGCCAUCAGGGACGGCAGCGGAGUGAUUUACAUUCUUAUCAUACCAGCUGCAGAAAACUAGAAUUUUAAAGGAGCUACAUUUCAGUCAAUGUGCUUGGGAUAGUGCUUCUCAUAUUCCUUUCAUGUCUGGUCAAGCUUACGUUUAUGAACUUGCUUCAGACAAAGGAGCAAUACUUAAGGAAAACUCUCUUGCUCUAAACAAAGGAGCAAUACUUAAAAUCAAAACCCUCUUGCUCUAAACAAAGGAGCAAUACUAAGUCAAUACUCUCUUGCUCUAAACAAAGGAGCAAUACUUAAGGAAAAAACCCUCUUGCUCUAAACAAAGGAGCAAUACUUAAGGAAAAAAACCUCUUGCUCUAAACAAAGGAGCAAUACUU